rnacentral:rRNA from 1 species
GAUGAACGCUGGCGGCGUGCCUAACACAUGCAAGUCGAACGAGUCGCAAGACUAGUGGCGAACGGGUGAGUAACACGUAGGAAUUUGCCCCAGAGUGGAGGAUACCCAGCCGAAAGGUUGGCUAAUACUCCAUGGUCCCGCAAGGGUAAAGCAGCAAUGCGCUUUGGGAGAAGCCUGCGUCCUAUCAGCUUGUUGGUGAGGUAAUGGCUUACCAAGGCUAUGACGGGUAGGGG